UGGGACGUCGUGCACAUGCUCAGUGUAAACCCCUCUAAGAAAUGUGACCAAAUUAUGAGCUCACCUUAACUUCUUUGAUCUCUUUAGCAAAAUUAAAGGCAGCACGUGUGAUGAUGUAAAGUUGUUCAGAGGAAUGAUUUCUGCACACGCUAACUUGACCUCCCCACUCCCUCCACUUCUCCACCUGCAGCGUUCUUCCCCCCUGCAUGUCCUGGCAUCUCUCUGCAUUGUUAAAGCAAUAUUACCUUGGCUUUUAGCAAAUGAAUGUGUGUGUUUCUUGACUGUGUGUGAGUGAAUUGUGUGUUUGAUGACUCCAUGGAGACACUGAUGGGUUGCGUGCCAGCUCUUCUCUUGAUGGUCUUUGAUUAUUGAAAGGUAAUUAUUGCUGUGGAGAGCGUGCUCUCUCUCUCUCUCUCUCUCUCUCUCUCUGCUAAAGGCUUUGUAGCCCAGGUUUCCUUCCAUGGGGAGGGACAGAUGUGCCAGCGUCCAUCACCGCUCUAAUGGUGAUAAAUGCCCUUUCAUUAGCAUGGCCCCCGUGUAGUACGCUUCCCUCUCUAACCGUCAUGGAUUUUUCCUCUCCUCUUUCCUCCUCCCUCUCUUCUCUCCUCCGUCUGUUUUUACAAUCCAUUACUGCUCUGCAGCUCUUUGUUUUCUUCAGGUGUGCAGUUUAUUAGGAUUUGUCGAUCGAGGGAAAAGGCCAAAAAAUGAAAGAAGAUGUCUGCCUCUGUGUCCCGCCGUGUGUGUAGGAUGUGUGUUCAGUCCACUGGCUCAUUUGACUGAUAGUCUGAUUCAACCUAUCGAUCCCUUUAGUCCGUCAGCUGAUCGAACAGUUCAUGUUCACCGACGGUUCACUCCAAAAAAAAGAAGCUUUCUCCAUCGGGGCUGAGAUGAAAAGAUGGAAAUCAAUCUCCAGUUUGUAACAUACAAACAAACACAGCAGGCGGGGCAGUGUCAUUUCAGGCUGAUUGUUUCGAUCUGUAAUUUCAGUCAACUGACCGAGCAUAAGAUCAAGAAGUUCACCUCGGGACAGUGGACCAUUGCACUGGCGGCCAAAUCUGCCCCUUUGGUAACCUUUGAGCAGCCCCAAGCCGGACCACAGUGCAUGAAUCCAAUACAAAUUACAAUUAUGUGGUGUCCUCUGUCACUGUUUUAUUGGAUUUUAUUGUUAGUUGUAGUUUUGUUGUGUCUUGUUGCUGACCAGUCACAUCCAACCAACUUUGAUUAUGGCACAGGCAGCAAACGCCCGGAAGCACUAGAUAGUACUAUUCAUAUUAUUUGUCCCAGAACAACCAAUUUACAUAACCUGACAACCGCUGAGGCAAGAGUUAGCGAGUACCCUGAUGUUUAUGCGAAUUAAGGAAACAGCUAGCCUGCGGGCCUCCAUUAAUAUGAAGAAAACUCAGAACUAACUGAUCUCCUGGUUCAUAACUAACUAAAACUGUUUCCUCAUCUUGAGAGUAUAGUAGUAUAGAUGCACACAUUGUGCAAGGCUACAGAAAUCCAUUUUACUAGGUUUACAUAUAAGCAAUUGUGGCAUGAAACAAUGUCUUAUUGCUGCUAAUAAGCUAAGGUGACAGUUGACUUUUGUGCUCUUACUUAAUAACAAACAAGUGUCAGAGGUAACUAAGGUAAUAAUAUUUGUCAUAAAUGGAGGCUGCCUGCAAAGAUUUGUUCCAAACCAAUAAACUGAAUCCUUUCCCCAAUCAGACAAAGUUUCAUAGCAACCUUUAGAACUUAGAUAUUUAAUAUUGCUAAUAUUUACAGGGCCUGCACAGCCACACGGACUGAAGACAGAGACAACCAAGAGAGACCAGAUCAUAUUUUAAAUAAAAAAUACAUUUAACAGCCUGUUUGCUUACUUUAGAGCACAGCUAACAGAAGCCUUUAGCUGCUCCCUUUUUACAUUUACAUUCAAAAAUGACGGACACACCAGAGUGAAUGUGCUUGAGCAAACUGAUGAUUUUAUUCCUUUGAAAGUAUAUCCAUGUUGAUGUCAACUUUUAGGUUACAUUAGCUAGCCAACAAUGCGGUUAAUUACUGUGCGGGCAAGCACUAGUGUUAAAACUGAAUGUGAAUUGGGGAUUUCAAGCCUGUUCCUGUGACAACCACAUUAUCAUUCAGCCCAAAGUUGCUAGUUUACAGGGUCGCAGUUUAACCCAUAACACUGUUGUUUGUGUACCAGCUACCUGCUUAAUGGCUGGUACACAGGUAAAUGCAAUGGUUACUCUAAUGUAAAAACAGACAGCAACAUAAGCAUGAACAUUUCCAAAGGAGUCAUUUGUUUAAUAAUAGUUUACCCAUGUAAAUGUUUAUCUGUCCCAGCCGUUUCUAUGAUUUUUGAAUAAUGUAAUAUAAUGUUCAAGUGGCUGAAUGCUAAUGUUAGCUGUGUUCUGAUGUGUUUUUUAACCUGAAAUAGGGCCUGGUAUCUCAUCUUUAGUCUGUGUGGUAUUUCAUCAACCGGGGAGCAGUGAAAUGACCACAGUUAGUCAGAACAUUGACGGUUUUUGACUUACGACCUGGAGCAUCAUUAUUAUACAUUAUAACAGUAGAAUUUUUUUUUUUCCCUGUACAUGGUAUCCCAUGAAGGUGGGUGCCAUAUGAAUAACAUUGAUUGCUAACUUGUUUUCACACCAACAUGACUUAGCUUGGUGGCACAGCAUUGCUGGCAAUUUAACAAGGAUUUUAGCCUUUUUGGUCAUGAACUGCUUUUACAGACAUCAAUAUUAACUUUACUGGCCUUAUUACAUAGUGUUCUGUGCCUUUAAAUACCAAUUAUAUUUAAGAGCUCAAAGGAAGGGGACUGAGGAGAGAGGACUUACACUCAAAAAGCAAUCACCUUGCUUGCAGGUACAGUGUGGUAAGAUAGAAAGUGGUAGCUACAUUACUUUUCUAUUACAGAGUACAAGCCUUAAUUUUCAGAUUCAUAGACAAUUGCAGCCCUGAAAUCUCAAACCUUGAUGUGGCUGAUGACCCAGGUGUACCAUGUUUGGAGGGGAAUAACAGAAAACUUUUAUUUUACAGUUCACAGAACAAAAGCAUUUGGGAUAGUGAAACUCUUACAUCAGAAAUACAGUAUGUUUUAAGCUCAACGCUACCUUGUCUGAGAGGUAUUAUGUGUUCAGAGAAAAAAAGGAAACAGCAAGGCUUUAACAAAAGGCUGCAUUGGUGAUUCAAAACCUAGACAUAUUCACAGAUAAUUGCUCAUGUAUUUUUCUUCUCCAGCUAAUGAAGAAAUACCUGCAAAUUAUCUCCUGGAAUGACUCCUCUGAGAGCUGUAUUGAAAGCAGUGAUGAAUACAUCCCAUGAAAGGCCGUGAUACAUGGGAGCAGUUCGGGGGUGACCACCUUGCAGCUGAGAUAACAUUGACGACACACAAGAAAAAGCCAACCUUAGAGAGGGAUCACAAAAGGAAGACUGCACCAGCUCUCUCCAGAUAAAGAUGAUAUGAGUGAGAAAACUAGAAACUCUGGUGAAAGCAAUCUAAAAAAUGAAUCAGCAAAAAAACAAAAAUGGAGAGAGAGUUUACAGCUGUUGUCACUGCUGUAAAAUGGCAAAGCACUUAAUCCAUAAACGGUGUGAUGAAACAGAGUUUGCCAAAGCAAUGUCUUUACCUUUUAACUCCAAGACCAAACAAGUCUGGAUUUAACUUCAUAGGCAAUGAGGGAAACCAUCAGUAUGUUUACACGCACAACUAAGCUGAGCUACAGUUACAGCUUGAUUGGGCGAUUCAGCUGGACUACCGUCGCUGUCCCAGCUGACAAGAAUCAAAUCACUGACGGAGGUAGAGCCACCUUUGCCAAGGUAGGCUGCAACAUGCCCCCUUUUAGCUCUUUACUACUGGUCGUUCUCUGGUUGACCUUGCAUGUGCUAGAACAAUUGUGAAAGCAUGUUAGCAAGUGGCGAACAGGAUGCUAAUAACACCAUCACUUUUACAGCUCUAUACCUUGUGUUCAUUCAGUUUUGCCUUUUUACAUCCUUUCUUUGCAGAUUGAAGUUUUGUUAACCACCCAGCUUCCCAGCAUGCCAGCUCCUGAGCAUACUCAGGAUGUUUGGGCCAGUUUCAGUCAGACUUAGCAGCAAGGUACAAAUAACAUUUUAUAGCCUGGUGACUAUAACUGUACCAAGAAUUAGUGUCUGACCUUUCUUUUGAAUUAAAAUCAGGGACUUUGCAGUUUGGCGGAUGUGAUAGUCUAUGAACUGCACAGUGACCUUAGCAGUGUUGUUGCAUGUGAAUUGUUGUACCAACAUGAACUGUUCAUGGUUUUUAGCGGAUAAAAUCAUGUCACUACUCCUCAAAGAGGGUGGUUUCCACCAGGCUGGUCAUCGUCUCCUCCAUGAGGCAAGUGAGUGUGCCUGUGUAAUGUGGAUUUACAACUGGCAGCAUCGAUUGAACAGGUCAGGUGAGCUCAUAGCAAACACUGCACUGUGAUUAAAAUCGAGACCUAAGAACCAGGGGACCAGCACUGAUGUCAUGAGUGAGGUUUACAAUACGAGCAAGUGUUAUAGCAGCAUAAAGUUCAAGUGAUCAGCCACAGUAUUAAAUUCUGAGGCAGAGACUUUUGUUUUGUAAAAAGCCUGCAUUCAAAGAAAGCAGUAUAGUAUCUUUGCUCUGAGGACAGUUUCUUUGGAGUAAUAGAAAGUGUCAGUCCAGCCCUCCUGUGGGACUGCUUUUGGAUAUCAGUGCGGCAGAGUAAUUCCUCUGUUCCCGCUUACAAAGACGUUCUCCUCACAAUCAGGACAGAUUGUCUUUGUUCUAUGAUGUGCCUCAUGUUAAUGUAGAGUUAAUGGGGUACUGCAUCAAUUUAAUGUAGCCCAGCCUUUCUGUAAACUUUGGGGACUGACAGGAGAGAUUAACAAAGAGAGCAGCGAAAGUAAAGGCAGCAGAGGGUUUAGCGUGGGUCAAUCUCUUUCAGAAACUUAAAUGAAUAAUGCACUUAACCAUAAUUAUAUUUAGCUUCGGCUAUACCGGUAAAUUGUUGGUUCUCUUACAUCAUAGAUACUGGAUGCAACCCAUUUUACAUUCCCUCAUGUCAUUGUGAUGGAAAAAUCCUACUUUGAUACACUCGGGAUAUACAACAGGAUUGAUAUGAUGAGAGUCAAGACACAUAUUGUUGUAAUGCAGUUGGGUGUCUUACUUCAUAGCUAUUUGGAACUAUUCACCAAUUAGCCAUAACAUAAUGACCACCUGACUAACUAAGGAAUAACACACGGUGAAUGAGUAUUUAUGGAAGUGAGUAUUCCUAAGAGGUGAGAUAGAGCUCAGUGCAAAGUGGGUACGCCUUCAGUCCCAACGCACAACGAAGCAACACUACAUUUUUUUGAACAGAGGGAAAAAGAGAAGGAAAAAAGUUUUUUGUGCCCUUUAUAGGUUUGAUUUUAUGGUUUUUAGCUGAUAAAAAGUCUAGUUUUAGUCGGUACAAGGUCAUGAUACUUCAGUCAUUGCUUUUAGUCAAAAUAUUUUCUCUCUUUUAAGCUAAUCGGAUGUCAGUCCAGGCAUUAAUUUCUGUUAUCUUUCACUUUCGACAUUUUGAUUGUGUGAAAAUUGGAGUCUUCACAUUAGUUUAAUGAUUUAGCUUAAACUUCCCCACAAUGAAGUGCUUCUGUGCUGUCCCUGAUGUUAAGGUGAUACCCACAGAAGAUUUUCAAAAUGUGUUAUAAUACCACCCUGAGGCAGUAAUGCCCUAACCCCCAUUUCCCCUUAAUGCUCAUGUAGUUUAAAGUCCUGUAUUGAGUGUCCAUCACCUGUUGGCAGUGCGUCUUCUUGUCCUGAUGUAUUAACAGUGUCUGUGUGUCAGGCUGUAGUGUUUAAUAUUGAGUCCAUCAUUGAUUUCACACUUUCACACAGCACAACCUUCCUCUUUGUGUUCAGUGUGAUUCUGCAUUCUCUGGAAGCAAAGUCUCACACCAAAUCAAUACCAAGGCCUCCACUGUUGACCCUGUUGCUACUCCCCAUUAUUACUUCAACCAUACAAGGAAGUGUUGGGAAAUUAAUCACAACAACCGCCAUGUCCACAUUCACAAUGAAGGUCAACCCACAGACCAACAGAUAUUUUUUAAUGUUCCUUCUUUUUCUCAGAAAUACAAGGCAUGAAAUAUUUCCUUUUCUUUCACAGUCUGAGGAUAUCAACACGAAAAGCAAGGACGGUAUCCAGGAGGGACACGAGAUAUUCUAACAGCCUCUGAUUACAGGGUUAAGCAUUAGAGCCGGCCUGCUGGAUGCAUGAUUGACAGAGCCCUGACUGCCUGAUUGCACUUAAAACACUGUCUAAAGUGAUGAUGUUGCCUAUGAGAUCAUGUUACCCAGCUGGGUUAAAUACUUGGCUAUGAUUGGUCGAAAUCCCUUUAAGACCCCUUGGCAACAGAGGCAAGUGGAUCACACACGUCAUAUCAAAUCAGUCUGUGCCUUGUUGACAUUGAGGUGAAAAUGUGAGCUUCCUUUGGCAUGCUAAAUUGUUAGGCUAAACAACACAAAUAUUAUAUCCAUUUCCAACUGCAAUUCAGGCAAGGGCAGCAGAGAUGGUGAGAGCAUAUCCAGAGAUUACUGAUCACUACAAAGACAGAAAGAAGCACUUGAGUGGCGGAGUUGAACAUUCAAAUAUUGAUUCAAUAUUUAAUCUUUUGUCAUGUUAGAGCUACUAACCAUGGAAUCAGAAACUAUUCUCUACCUGUACUUAUGUCAUAUUUAAAUAGAUAAAAUCACUCUUAAAUGAAAAUUAAGUACCAUUAUAUGUAGGACUAAAGUUCAUAAUGAUGUACGAUCAAUAGCCCAGAGAAAAAGUUAAAUGUACGGUAAUUUGACAGUUUCAUGAACGUGUGGUGCAAUGGGAGUGUCUCGGUCUGCCAGAUACUUUAUUUUUCCAGUUAUUUAUUUGCGUACUCUAAAUGCAUCUUUUACCACAGAUGUUUCCAUCCAGUCAUAGUUUGAGUGACGUUUGUCUCCAAACAACGAGCGUGAUUGGCUGUCAAUCAUGCUUAGUCGGGAAGUCAGUUGAGAAAAAUUAGCACCGCUUAAGAGAACGGUGAUGAACAGGAGCCGAAAGUUGAUUUUUGUGUCCAAAAUAAAUUUCACGUAGUCAGUUCCUCGUCAGUUAUUAUGAAUACUGUUUCAAAAAAGUAGGUGACCUCAAGGUCUCAUGAUGUGGCUCAUUAGUUCCUGUCUGUCAUUUGUUUAAAGGGGACACAUUAGUGUAACACAGCUAGGUUGGAGCUGCUGAUCAUACAAUGCUGUGUGAUUUUCCCCAAAAUACAAUAAUUUUGAGUCUUUGGUACGAUAAUUCUAUAUUUCCCA